rnacentral:rRNA from 1 species
UACGGGGGGGGCAAGCGUUGUUCGGAAUUACUGGGCGUAAAGCGCGUGUAGGCGGCCCUGCAAGUCGGAUGUGAAAUCCCACGGCUCAACCGUGGAAGUGCAUUCGAAACUGCAGGGCUAGAGUCCUGGAGAGGAGGGUGGAAUGCUUGGUGUAGAGGUGAAAUUCGUAGAUAUCAAGCGGAACACCGGUGGCGAAGGCGGCCUUCUGGACAGUGACUGACGCUGAGACGCGAAAGCGUGGGGAGCAAACAGG